AGGACAAACGCUGGCGGCGUACCUAAGACAUGCAAGUCGAACGGAGCUCCGUGCUUCGGCGUGGAGUUGAGUGGCGAACGGGUGAGUAACGCGUAGGAACCUGUCGUUGAGUGGGGGAUAACGCUGGGAAACCGGUGCUAAUACCGCAUGAGGUUGCUGGAGGGAACUCUGGUAAAGAAAGCAGCAAUGCGCUCGAUGAGGGGCCUGUGUCCGAUUAGCUUGUUGGUGGGGUAAAGGCCUACCAAGGCGACGAUCGGUAGCUGGUCUGAGAGGAUGGUCAGCCACACUGGGACUGAGACACGGCCCAGACUCCUACGGGAGGCAGCAGUUAGGAAAUUUUCCCAAUGGGCGCAAGCCUGAGGGAGUAACGCCGCGUGCGGGAUGACGGCUUUCGGGUUGUAAACCGCUUUUCUGUGGGAAGAGUAGAAGACGGUACCGCAGGAAUAAGCCUCGGCUAACUACGCGCCAGCAGCCGC
rnacentral:rRNA from 1 species